GUGCUCACUUCAGCAGCACAUAUACUAAAACUGGAACGAUACAGAGAAGAUUAGCAUGGCCCCUGCGCAAGGAUGACACACAAAUUCGUGAAGCGUUCCAUAUUUUU
ensembl:snRNA U6 U6 spliceosomal RNA